rnacentral:rRNA from 1 species
UACGAAGGGGGCUAGCGUUGCUCGGAAUUACUGGGCGUAAAGCGCACGUAGGCGGUCUUUUAAGUCGGGGGUGAAAUCCUGGAGCUCAACUCCAGAACUGCCUUCGAUACUGGAAGACUUGAGUCCGGGAGAGGCGAGUGGAACUGCGAGUGUAGAGGUGAAAUUCGUAGAUAUUCGCAAGAACACCAGUGGCGAAGGCGGCUCACUGGCCCGGUACUGACGCUGAGGUGCGAAAGCGUGGGGAGCAAACAGGG